UUCACCACAUCGUUAUACAUCAUUGUAUCGACAGCUCGUAAUGACUGCGCCAAGUAAUUUCUCCGUAGUAACAAUUGCUAUAUUCGCCUUUCAACUUUUAGGUCAACUUCGCUGGCGCAUACUUUUACCCUGAACUGAAACCUUCCGUACAGAAAUAUCAAGAUGUCAAUAGGUGUGGACCUAUGGUUGAAGACCACUACCUCGUCUACAGAAACUACCUCUAUGAUUCUCAGUACGGCGGAACUUCCAGAUGCGUCAAGUUUCAUAAAAUUGUUCCCUACACGGACAUUCACGGGUUGACCAAGAUCUCCUGGGAAAGACAUGGCUUUGGACGCCUAUAUAUGCACGGCCACGACACUGCCACUUCAACGCCGGGGUACACGGCAAGAAAUCUGCACACCAUUACAUCUCAUCAUG